rnacentral:lncRNA from 1 species
AUGACCCUCGAAGACUCGAUUAGCCCAGUAGGAGGGCGCCAGCGUCCGCCGCCCAUUCCCCUCCACAGGGAGCCGGGACCGACGGUCUGUUCACACGGUCACAACAUCGGCGGAGCCGGAGCGCGCUGCAGCGCCGCCGCCGCGGGUCUGGCUGUCACCAGCGCCCCCGCCGCCCGCGCCGCACACGCGGAGUGCCUUAUAAGGCAGCGCAGUGACGUAACGCCCAUAGGCUGGGCGCGCUCGGCGCCCCGCUCGCAUUGUUCGGGCGACUCCCGGAGCGCGCACAGCCCGCUCACUGAGACGAGCGACUGCGGCCCCCGCCCGGCCCCGGCGCAGGCGACUCAGCUGAAGACCUGGAAGUUGCAGUCAUAGGACCCAAACCGUUUGUCCUUGCCGUAACUAGAAGUCAGCAGACUGCCCUUUCCCAGGUAUACACUUUUAUUCCAAAGUUUUUGUGGGUAGUCCAGUGCAUCUGCCAGGUUUUACAGAAAAGGAUGAAUUUUGCUAUAGUUUCAAAGUUAGGUAAUUAAUGCCAGUGUCAACCUGCCAGCCUAGAGCUUGUAACUCCUUAUCAGCACCAAACAUUUAAUGAGUGUCUACUCAUCAGUGUGUUAAGUAUAGGUAGGACAACAAGCCUAGCAACUAUGUUCUCUGAACAUUACACCAUGUCACUUAACAUAGCUACACCUACCAUCUUCAUAAACAAGGACUAAGAUCAUCAGCAGCUCUCAUAGAAUGGUUUCAAUCAUUGUCCUGUCCAGCUCUUUUUUAGUGAACUGAUAAAGCAAUGUAGACAAUACAGGUCAGCUGUACAUGGAAAGUAACGUAAACAAUGAAGGACUUUUUUUUUUUUUUUAAUACAACAGAAUGUAGUCAAUCUCCAAGUUUGUUUACUAGUGACACUAAUUGGUAUGGACAAAUAGUGUUAUCUCAGUUCUUAAAUCAAGUUCUGCUCUUCUUGGCUCUGCCAUCCAUUCACUGGGUAAAGCCUCUUAUAGCACUGGCUUGCAUAAACCUAAAAAAAGGAAACAAUGUCAUCCACUAUAACUAUCUCUCAAUACUGGGUGAGGACAAAAUAGCACCAUAACCCCUGAGGACAGAAUAGUGUGAGGGAACUCCAUAGAGCCAAAUACUAUCUAAAAAUACGAGCAACUGAUCAUAUCAUUACAGAGACAAAUCAGCUAAAGAAAAUGGGAAGAAUGUGAGAGGAAAAGUCUACUCUAAACCAGGGGUAAAAUUCACAUAACUAGCCCUUGAACCUGUGAGAGCUCCAAAAGAUCCUACCAAGAGCAGUCUCAAAGAUGAGGUCAGCCCUUCAAGAUGGGUGGCUCUGAUAGAAGCACAUGUGCUAGAUUUAUCAUAUCUCAUGGCCCACUAGUCUUGGAACAAAAGUUUAAAGGUGAAUUAAGUUUUUUUUCUUCUCUUUUCAAAAUUCUUUUUUAAGUGAAUCAAAACAAAAACAAAUCUCUGAGCAGAAGUCAUAAGAGGAAUGUAAAACAUUCAUCAUAUUUGGGCUGACAAGUCUUAGUGACUGCUGCUGUUACAUUUGAAGAAAAGGAAGGAGCUGCCGGACCUAAGAGCUUGGGGAGAGCAUGAGAAAGUUCUUUCUUGCUGAAGACAAAGGGCCUGCAGUGAGAUUCUGUGGAAAUCCCUUAGCCUUGGCUUGUUAAGUCAAUUAAUUGGGAAUGGCGGAGGAGGUGAAUCACUCUGGAGUUUUGAGAAAAAUAAUCCUCUGCUGCUAAUGUGAAGAUUAUCUAUUUUUUUAAAAAAUCAAUUAAUUUAUUAUCAAGAUAAAGACACUUUAUAUUAAAAGAAAUACAUUAUGUUUGAGGUUCCACAUUACCCUUCAGGCAUUCAUACAGCUACUAUAUGGGGCAGGCUGAGAUCUUUCAGAUAAAGAUGAGAACAGCUCUAUUAAGUGAUUGGGGUUCUCCCCUAAAAUUCUGCUGGGCUGAGCAAAGAUGCAAAGAAUCACGGGCAGAGUUAAGAUUCUCUGGCUAGUUUUCCCCCAUCUGGACUUUAUUUAAAUUUGUCUCUAAGUGAAUUCACUUCACUGAAUGGUUCUCCCUCCUCAAAAGUGACAUGAACAAAAGGAAAAAAAAAAACUCUACUUCUCCUUCUUCUGCUAAUAAUAAGGGUAAAUUCUGAGAACUUUAGGUAUCAUUCAGUCUAAGAGAGGAUUAUGGUCCCCUAAGAAAUGGGUCUUCUCACCUCUCAAUCAUCUGAUUGUCAAGUAUGUACCUAGUUCAGACCCAUGUGGAAGAUAGAGAGGUAUUAAAUUCUUUAAGGAGCUUACAGUUAGUCCAAGAGCAGAACUAAUAAAACAAACUAAAAAGUGGUAUAAAAUAAUACAAAGUAUUUGUGUCGCAAAACUGUAAGGGCUGUGGGGACUCAGAAAGAGGGAACCGGAGUUCCCAUUGCGGCUCAGCGGAAAACAAAUCCAACUAGGAACCAUGAGGUUGCAGGUUUGAUCCCUGGCCUCACUCAGUGGGUUAAGGAUCUGGUGUUGCCUUGAGCUGUGGUGGAGGUCGCAGAUGCGGCUGUAGCUCCAAUUUGACCCGUAGCCUGGGAAACUCCAUAUGCCGUGGGUGCAGCCUUAAAAAAAAAAAAAGGAAAGAAAAGAAAGAAAGAAGGGGGAACCAGCCAGGGUAAGACAUAUUAGCGAAUAUUCAGGAAACGAUCUGAACUGAAAAGUAAAUGUAGCAUUCCAAAUAAGGAUGGCAGAUUUAUACCUUAGAAGUCUACUGUGAAAAGGGAAUCUGGGGUAAAAAGAGAAAGCCUUGAUUCAGCAUCAGAACACCCAAAGUCUGAUUUUUAAAUCCACUGUUUGGCUUUCAGAACAAUCUGGACUUCCAGAGUGAUUUCAGUCCUUAAAGGAAGAUUAAAAGUAAUGACAAAGCAGUUAGCACAAUGCCAGGCCCUCAGCAGACACUCAGUAAUGGUACUUGUUACUCUUCUAGAUAUUAUGCCAGUCUGCCCAUAAGAAUGGUGCUUCAUCAUCAUCUAAUGAUAUAGGGUUCUGACAGACUGAGGCACAAGGUGUUACCUCAGGGCCAAAGAGGAGAAGCUUUGUAGGAUGCAGUCCCAAAGAACUCAUGCUCUUUGAACCCAGCCAUAAAGUGAAGUAAAGAAUUAAGCUUACUGGAGAAAAUCCGUAUCUCUAGUGCUUAACCUCAGCUACUCUGAAGAGUGAGGUUAUCCUUUCCCUUGAUUUCCCUGUUAGAUUCUCAUAGAAUCUCCAUUAUGAGAAACCCACAUAAGCUUUCCUAAACAAGUUACCAAGGGGAGCAAAAGGCUUAAAAGCUAGCCUGGAAUUUCCCUGUUUUACCUUGAAAAUCCUACUAUGCCAGAGAGGCGCACAUAUGAAACAAGUAAGUAAGACAAAUCUUACAACAUGGGCUAAAUAGCUUAUAUUAGAUCCUAGCCAUAGACAAUAAAGAUACCCUUUCAGAAACUACUAAAUACUUCUUCCUAGGUACUCAUUUUUUCAGUUUAGUUGUACUUUCAAUUUAGCAUAAAUUGAAAACUUUAGUGUCAGACAUUAAAAAAGAUUUACUUCCAUACUUUUACAGCAGACUUAUAACCUUGAACUACAACACAUAAAGAACUCCCCCCAAAAAAAACAAUCCCGUGAAAUUCCAAUUAAGUAAGGUUCUCAUUAUAGUUAUUCACUACUGAGACUUGACAAGUCAUAAAAAUCUCUUCUGAUUGAAUGGAAUGAAUAUACACUUUUGACAUGUGAAUUUGUACACAGUGCUAUAUAAGAAAGAAGGGAGGGAAAGGACUUUAAAUGUUGGUGGUGCUUUUUAUUUUUUUACUCUGUGUAACCAAGAUUUGAGGAUCAUUAAAGGCUUUGUAAACCUUAAACACAAAAUUGUACUGCUUUCCCCACGUUGCAGCUGAGGUAACAGGGAGAUGAUGCAGGGUCACAGAGUUAAGUCAAUAACAGAUUUUUGGUUCAACAUUCCCUGUCCAUCAAAUAAAUACAUGGCUUUUCUGAAAGUGGCUUUUCUGUUGUUUGAAGUUUUGCUUUUUUGUUUCCAGUUGUGGAUGAGGGAACUUUAAAAGUGAUUAAAAUUUAGGGAUAGUGAAGUCAGUGCUUUUUUUCAACAAUACUUUUUCCAAUUACUGCAAACCUGAAAUACUUCGUCCUCUCCUAAAAUUCAAAUAUUCAAAAGUAAGCAUUAUGUCAUUGCUCUCACCUCUAGCAGGCCUGUUAUAAACUAUUGUAACAACUUGAUAGAACUGCCCCUUACUACACAAGCUUAAUAUUCUCUAGAACAUACUCAUCUUAAAAGAACCCAACUCAGAGAAAAAUAGGAUUAAACUCUGUGUUCAUGCUUUCUGUCUUCUCAAUGCUUAGAAGAGGCAGAAAAG